rnacentral:rRNA from 1 species
GUAGCGAAAUUCCUUGUCGGGUAAGUUCCGACCUGCACGAAUGGCGUAAUGAUGGGGGCGCUGUCUCCACCCGAGACUCAGUGAAAUCGAAAUCGCAGUGAAGAUGCUGUGUACCCGCGGCUAGACGGAAAGACCCCGUGAACCUUUACUAUAGCUUCACAGUGGACUUUGAACCUGUUUGUGUAGGAUAGCUGGGAGACUUUGAAGCAGUGACGCUAGUCAUUGUGGAGUCGUCCUUGAAAUACCAGCCUGGCAUGUUUGAGGUUCUAACCUGGGUCCCUUAUCGGGAUCGGGGACAUUGUGUGGUGGGUAGUUUGACUGGGGCGGUCUCCUCCCAAAGAGUAACGGAGGAGCACAAAGGUACCCUCAGCACGGUCGGACAUCGUGCAACGAGCGUAAAGGUAGAAGGGUGCUUGACUGCGAGACUUACAAGUCGAGCAGGUGCGAAAGCAGGUCUUAGUGAUCCGGUGGUUCUGUAUGGAAGGGCCAUCGCUCAACGGAUAAAAGGUACUCCGGGGAUAACAGGCUGAUACCGCCCAAGAGUUCAUAUCGACGGCGGUGUUUGGCACCUCGAUGUCGGCUCAUCUCAUCCUGGGGCUGAAGCCGGUCCCAAGGGUAUGGCUGUUCGCCAUUUAAAGAGGUACGCGAGCUGGGUUUAGAACGUCGUGAGACAGUUCGGUCCCUAUCUGCCGUGGGCGUUGGAGAUUUGAGAGGAGCUGCUCCUAGUACGAGAGGACCGGAGUGGACGAACCUCUGGUGUUCCGGUUGUCACGCCAGUGGCAUUGCCGGGUAGCUACGUUCGGACGGGAUAACCGCUGAAAGCAUCUAAGCGGGAAGCCUCCCUCAAGAUGAGAUCUCCCUGGGGGCUUGACCCCCCUAAAGGGCCGUUGAAGACCACAACGUUGAUAGGCUGGGUGUGGAAGCGUUGUAAGGCGUGAAGCUAACCAGUACUAAUUGCCCGUGAGGCUUGACUAU